rnacentral:rRNA from 1 species
GAAAGAAGCUUAGUGGCGAACGGGUGAGUAACACGUAGGCGACCUGCCCAAAAGAGGGGGAUAACACUUGGAAACAGGUGCUAAUACCGCAUAACCAUGAACACCGCAUGAUGUUCAUGUAAAAGACGGCUUUUGCUGUCACUUUUGGAUGGGCCUGCGGCGUAUUAACUUGUUGGUGGGGUAACGGCCUACCAAGGUGAUGAUACGUAGCCGAACUGAGAGGUUGAUCGGCCACAUUGGGACUGAGACACGGCCCAAACUCCUACGGGAGGCAGCAGUAGGGAAUCUUCCACAAUGGACGCAAGUCUGAUGGAGCAACGCCGCGUGAAUGAAGAAGGCCUUCGGGUCGUAAAAUUCUGUUGUCAGAGAAGAACGUGCGUGAGAGUAACUGUUCACGUAUUGACGGUAUCUGACCAGAAAGCCACGGCUAACUACGUGCCAGCAGCCGCGGUAAUACGUAGGUGGCGAGCGUUGUCCGGAUUUAUUGGGCGUAAAGGGAACGCAGGCGGUCUUUUAAGUCUGACGUGAAAGCCUUCGGCUUAACCGAAGUAGUGCAUUGGAAACUGGAAGACUUGAGUGCAGAAGAGGAGAGUGGAACUCCAUGUGUAGCGGUGAAAUGCGUAGAUAUAUGGAAGAACACCAGUGGCGAAAGCCGCUCUCUGGUCUGUAACUGACGCUGAGGUUCGAAAGCGUGGGUAGCAAACAGGAUUAGAUACCCUGGUAGUCCACGCCGUAAACGAUGAGUGCUAAGUGUUGGAGGGUUUCCGCCCUUCAGUGCUGCAGCUAACGCAUUAAGCACUCCGCCUGGGGAGUACGGUCGCAAGACUGCAACUCAAAUGAAUUGACGG